GUGGGUAUAGCCCAGUGGUAGAGCGCAUGCUUAACAUGCAGAGGUCCUGGGUUCAAUUUCCCAGUACCUCUA
rnacentral:tRNA from 1 species